rnacentral:rRNA from 1 species
UACGUAGGCAGCGAGCGUUGUUCGGAAUUACUGGGCGUAAAGAGUGUGUAGGCGGUGCUCUAAGUUCGGUGUGAAAUCUCCCGGCUUAACUGGGAGGGUGCGCCGGAAACUGGAGGGCUCGAGCGUGGGAGAGGAAAGCGGAAUUCCUGGUGUAGCGGUGAAAUGCGUAGAUAUCAGGAGGAACACCUGCGGUGUAGACGGCUUUCUGGACCAUUGCUGACGCUGAGACACGAAAGCGUGGGUAGCAAACAGG